rnacentral:rRNA from 1 species
CGACCGGCGCACGGGUGAGUAACGCGUAGUCCAACCUCCCCCACCAGUAGCGGGAUAGCCCGGCGAAAGUACGGAUUAAUACGCUAUGAGGUGCAGUAUUGGCAUCAUGGCCGCACGAAAGAUUUAUCGCUGUGGGAUGGGGAUGCGUCUGAUUAGCUUGUCGGCGGGUAACGGCCCACCGAGGCGACGAUCAGUAGGGGUUCUGAGAGGAAGGUCCCCCACAUUGGUACUGAGACACGGACCAAACUCCUACGGGAGGCAGCGAGUGAGGAAUAUUGGUCAAUGGCCGGAAGGCUGAACCAGCCCAAGUAGCGUGCAGGACGACGGCCCUACGGGUUGUAAACUGCUUUUAUAGGGGAAUAAAGUGUGGUACGUGUACCGUUUUGUAUGUACCCUAUGAAUAAGGACCGGCUAAUUCCGUGCCAGCCGCGGC